UACAGAGGGUGCGAGCGUUAAUCGGAAUUACUGGGCGUAAAGCGCACGUAGUCGGCUUUGCAAGUCGGUUGUGAAAUCCCCGGGCUCAACCUGGGAACUGCAUCCGAGACUGCAUUGCUAGAGUAUGGGAGAGGAAAGCGGAAUUUCUGGUGUAGCAGUGAAAUGCGUAGAUAUCGGAAAGAACACCAACGGCGAAAGCACUCUGCUGGGCCGACACUGACACUGAGAGACGAAAGCUAGGGGAGCGAAUGGG
rnacentral:rRNA from 1 species